rnacentral:rRNA from 1 species
UACGUAGGCGGUUCGGCAAGUCUGGCGUGAAAUCCCAUAGCUUAACUAUGGAACUGCGUUGGAAACUACCGAGCUCGAGGGUGGGAGAGGCUGGUGGAAUUCCUGGUGUAGCGGUGGAAUGCGUAGAUAUCAGGAAGAACACUCGUGGCGAAGGCGGCCAGCUGGCCCAUUUCUGACGCUGAGGUACGAAAGCCAGGGGAGCAAACGGGAUUAGAUACCCCGGUAGUCCUGGCCCUAAACUGUGAUAACUAGACGUCGGGGGUAUCGACCCCCUCGGUGUCGUAGCUAACGCGUUAAGUUAUCCGCCUGGGAAGUACGACCGCAAGGUUGAA